rnacentral:miRNA from 1 species
UUGCAAAGUGAAUCGUCAGCUU